GGCAACGGCCUAGAAAACCACCCCCCACUUCUCCCUCCGCUCAGGUGGCUGGGAGGACACUCAAAGUCGGGCCUCACCUGGGGGCACCUCUGGCCUCCACGCCUCCUCCAGAGGAUGGCCCCCCCGCCUGCCUGGCUGCCCUGGGAGGAGGCAACUGGGAAGCAUGGCCCAAUGACAAAGAGGGAAACGAGCAGUCGGGAGAGCUGCGGUGGUGCCAGGAAGGGCAGAGAAGCCAAGUCCCUGGCUCCCAGAGGAAAGAUGCAGAUGAAACGUUGAGGUCCCCUAGCAAUUCCCACUGGUUUACCUACCCCAUUUUAUGGACAAGGAAACAAGCUCAGAGAGCUGCGAGAACCCGGCCAGGUCUCCACGCGGGAAACGGGACAAGCCUGAUGCAACCUCAGACCCCGACUUCAAAGCCCAGCUCUUUGGCCAGCGCCACAGGCCGGGCUUCCAGAGGGCUCUCAGAGGUCGCCCAAGGUCAAGCUGGCUUCCUGAUACCAUUCCUGAGCUGCUGUAGAAGGGCCCAUCGAGACAGGACGUCUGCUGGUUACCUGUGCCCAAGCCACCUGAGUAACAAAGGGAACUUUAUUCUGAGUUCCACGUGCUGUGGGCUCCCCAGCCCCACCUGCCCAGAUCACCAGCCGGCUUAUCAGCACGGGGGAUGAAUUACAUUCUCAAAUAACCAGGCAGGAGACCUUCUGUAGGGUAGCUGGGAAAAUAGAAUAAAGACCCUAAUCUUAAAGUGAGUGUAUUUUCAGACUUGCUCCUUCCUCCCCCAAACCUGGGCUGCUCCCCGACACCUCUCCCUCUUCCCCGUGCCCCACGCCUUCUGAAUCCGCCCG
rnacentral:lncRNA from 1 species